AUGUUUUGUUUGCUUGUGUAUUUUGAAGCCGCAUUACUAGGUGCCUGCAUAUUCAGGAUUGCUAAGACUCCUCAUGAACCGGCUGAUUUAUCAUUUGCUAAUGUCUCUCUUCUUUUUAACUUUUUCUUUCUUUCCGGUAGAGAUAACAUCGUGCUGUUUUGCCCAGGUUGGUCUCAAACUCCUGGCGUCAAGCAGUCCUCCCACCUCAGCCUCCCGAAGUGCUGGGAUUACAGUGCAAAGCAACUGGAUGAUGCCUCCUUGAUGCAGCGUUCUUCAUAUUUCUAUGCUUAGCGGUUCACUGAAUCCCUGGGUUCUGCAGGUUUACACUUUGCGGCGAAUUUGAAAACAUCGUGGCAACCGUUUCCUGCAUAUCUGUUCCUGUCCCUGCUUCCUUUCUUCUGUGACCCUAAUGGCACACAGAGAGUGUAGGGCUGUUGGCCCCACAGGGUCGUGGGGCGUCCCUUAUGCUGUGCUGAGGUGCAGGAUAUGAGAAGUAAAGAGACAGGAAGCUGAAGAACUGAUGAAGAGCAGCUGGACUCGGGGGACCGCGCCACCUAUGAGGGGAGACAGGCGAGGCCCCAAAUGCUCAUAAGCAUCUGUAUUUAUUAGGUACAAGCAGGGGGCAGGGUGGUGAGUGAGGUCAUCAUCUAUAGUCUUAGUGAUAGGGCAUACAUAAUCAUGUGAGUCACAAGCAAGGGGGCCAGCCCACUAUGUCACCUGGGCAGAGAGGUGGGCCGUGCACAGUAGGGGGCUGUGCCGUCCACAGUAGUAGAGGGUUGUGUACAGAAAAGCGGUCCAACCCCAUUAGGUCACCGAGGCAAGUAGGUGGACUGUGUGCAACAGGUGUUGUGAGCAACACUUCUUAUCUGGGGACUGGAGACGUCAAAGGAUUUCUAACAGAAGGAUACUGUAAGCCCAUGCACUGGGAGCUGAAAGACAUGUGCUCUUCUCUUAAGAUAUUUAUGGGAGGAUGAUCUGAGCUAGCACAGAAGCGAGAAAAGACUAACAGGGUGUACAGCCGCCGUGACUGGUCACAUCAGAGGGGUUCUUCUCCCUCGGUUAUUUGCGGGAUCUCAGGCCUGAGGCCUGCUUUCCACAGGAACUGGAUGCGGGUACCACAGCUCCUUUCUCAGGAGGAGAGGCUCUUGCUCCAAGCUUGCCAUACAGCGUGUCCCCUUUCAGACAGGGACGCCACCGCCUGGGGCUUUGGUUCUCGUCCUGGUCUGGCUGUUUUCCCAUGUGCUGCUUCUGUUCUGUGACUGCUCUGGGCAUUCCUCCUACUACAAACUACUGUAUGAUUAUGUGGAAGGAUUCUAUAAAUCACACUAAAUGUGUUGGUACAGCUCCGACUACAUCCGUUAUAUGAUUAUGUAGAAAGAGUAUAUGGGACUAAGCAUGAUUAUAUAUAUAAACUAGAUACAGUAAGCAGUGAGUUAUUACACGAUUAUAUAAAAAGAGUAUAUGGACUAAGUAUGAUUAUAUAUAUAAGCUAGAUACAGUAAGCCGUGAGUUAUUACAUGAUUAUAUAGAAAGAGUAUAUGGACUAAGUAUGAUUAUAUAUAUAAGCUAGAUACAGUAAGCAGUGAGUUAUUACAUGAUUAUAUAGGAAGAUUAAAUGGACUAAGUAUGAUUAUAUAUAUAAACUAGAUACAGUAAGCAGUGAGUUAUUACAUGAUUAUAUAGAAAGAUUAUAUGGACUAAGUAUGAUUAUAUAAACUAGAUACAGUAAGCAGUGAGUUAUUACAUGAUUAUAUAGAAAGAUUAUAUGGACUAAGUAUGAUUAUAUAAACUAGAUACAGUAAGCAGUGAGUUAUUACAUGAUUAUAUAGAAAGAUUAUAUGGACUAAGUAUGAUUAUAUAAACUAGAUACAGUAAGCAGUGAGUUAUUACAUGAUUAUAUAGAAAGAUUAUAUGGACUAAGUAUGAUUAUAUAUACAAACUAGAUACAGUAAGCAGUGAGUUAUUACAUGAUUAUAUAGAAAGAUUAUAUGAACUAAGUAUGAUUAUAUAUAUAAGCUAGAUACAGUAAGCAGUGAGUUAUUACAUGAUUAUAUAGAAAGAUUAUAUGGACUAAGUAUGAUUUUAUAUAUAUAAACUAGAUACAGUAAACAGUGAGUUAUUACAUGAUUAUAUAGAAAGAUUAUAUGGACUAAGUAUGAUUUUAUAUAUAUAAGCUAGAUACAGUAAGCAGUGAGUUAUUACAUGAUUAUAUAG
ensembl:lncRNA